UACGGAGGAUGCGAGCGUUAUCCGGAUUUAUUGGGUUUAAAGGGAGCGUAGGUGGAUUGAUAAGUCAGCCUGUGAAAGUUUGCGGCUCAACCGUAAAAUUGCAGUUGAUACUGUCAGUCUUGAGUACAGUAGAGGUUAGCGGAAUUCGUGGUGUAGCGGUGAAAUGCUUAGAUAUCACGAAGAACUCCAAUUGCGAAGGCAGCUGACUAGACUGUAACUGACACUGAGGCUCGAAAGUGUGGGUAUCAAACAGG
rnacentral:rRNA from 1 species